rnacentral:rRNA from 1 species
UGGUGGAGUGAUUUGUCUGCUUAAUUGCGUUAACGAACGAGACCUUAACCUGCUUACUAGACGCGCGCUGCAUAAGCGUGUGCUCUUCUUAGAGGGACUAUGCGUUUCAAGCGCAUGGAAGUUUGAGGCAAUAACA